UUUCUUGCCAAAUAUACCAAAAGGAUGCCUCAAUAGCUGAUCCCAUGCCCUCCUAAAUGAUUGAUGAACUCUCUUGCUCCUCCAAAAAGACCAAAGCGAGAAAAAGUUGGCUUACCAACCUCUAAUAUUCAAGCAUAUCUUGAAGGUAGAAAGAACACUCCGCACAAAAGGACACGUAAGAAGUAAGGGAGUAUUUAGUUGAAAAAAGUGGGGGUCUGGAAUCAGAAUCGGAAUGGGUGACUCCC
rnacentral:lncRNA from 1 species